rnacentral:rRNA from 1 species
ACAGAUGGGAGCUUGCUCCCUGAUGUUAGCGGCGGACGGGUGAGUAACACGUGGGUAACCUGCCUGUAAGACUGGGAUAACUCCGGGAAACCGGGGCUAAUACCGGAUGGUUGUUUGAACCGCAUGGUUCAGACAUAAAAGGUGGCUUCGGCUACCACUUACAGAUGGACCCGCGGCGCAUUAGCUAGUUGGUGAGGUAACGGCUCACCAAGGCGACGAUGCGUAGCCGACCUGAGAGGGUGAUCGGCCACACUGGGACUGAGACACGGCCCAGACUCCUACGGGAGGCAGCAGUAGGGAAUCUUCCGCAAUGGACGAAAGUCUGACGGAGCAACGCCGCGUGAGUGAUGAAGGUUUUCGGAUCGUAAAGCUCUGUUGUUAGGGAAGAACAAGUGCCGUUCAAAUAGGGCGGCACCUUGACGGUACCUAACCAGAAAGCCACGGCUAACUACGUGCCAGCAGCCGCGGUAAUACGUAGGUGGCAAGCGUUGUCCGGAAUUAUUGGGCGUAAAGGGCUCGCAGGCGGUUUCUUAAGUCUGAUGUGAAAGCCCCCGGCUCAACCGGGGAGGGUCAUUGGAAACUGGGGAACUUGAGUGCAGAAGAGGAGAGUGGAAUUCCACGUGUAGCGGUGAAAUGCGUAGAGAUGUGGAGGAACACCAGUGGCGAAGGCGACUCUCUGGUCUGUAACUGACGCUGAGGAGCGAAAGCGUGGGGAGCGAACAGGAUUAGAUACCCUGGUAGUCCACGCCGUAAACGAUGAGUGCUAAGUGUUAGGGGGUUUCCGCCCCUUAGUGCUGCAGCUAACGCAUUAAGCACUCCGCCUGGGGAGUACGGUCGCAAGACUGAAACUCAAAGGAAUUG